rnacentral:rRNA from 1 species
UACGUAGGCAGCGAGCGUUUGUUCGGAGUUACUGGGCGUAAAGGGUGUGUAGGCGGUUGUUUAAGUUUGGUGUGAAAUCUCCCGGCUCAACUGGGAGGGUGCGCCGAAUACUGAAUGACUAGAGUGCGGGAGAGGUGAGUGGAAUUCCUGGUGUAGCGGUGAAAUGCGUAGAUAUCAGGAGGAACACCGGUGGUGUAGACGGCUCACUGGACCGUAACUGACGCUGAGACACGAAAGCGUGGGUAGCAAACAGG